rnacentral:misc_RNA from 1 species
CAACCAUCAAGCCCCCGGCUUGUGUUGGGGACCUGCGGCUGCCGCAGGCCCUGAAAACCAGUGGCUGGCUCGCUAGUCACUCCGAGCGUAGUAAUACAUCUCGCUCAGGGCGUGCUGCGGGUUCCGGCCGUUAAAAAGCCUUAUUUACCCAA